rnacentral:lncRNA from 10 species
CUCAAGUAAUGUCAAUUUUUAAAAGUUGGUCUUACAAUAUACUUUGUAUAUCUGUAAGAAUUUAUCCUUAGACUAAGUCACCGUUUUCCAAGAGCAAUUAGUGAGAUUUUCCCAACACAAUAAAAAUCAUGUUAUUUAACACUCUCAUCUGACUGUAUAAAAGGAAAAGUGGAACAAGGAAAUAUGUCCCAGACCACCAGCAACAAGCUCUGCUAUUCAAAUAUCCAAAAAAUGAAACCCAAAAUAAUUCAUAUAUCAUCAAAGCAAUUGCUUUCUCAAGCCAAUCUCCCCUAAAAUUUUAUAUUUGAAAACUAUACUUGGAAUAUUUUCUAAAUUGAAUAAAAGAUCUCUUUUCCUCAUGAUGGGCAUGAGAAAAUCAAGAAAUAUUUUCACCAACAAUAAUAAACAUUUUCUCUGGCUCAUGCUUUAAUUAUUUGCAUUCCAGUGGUCAUUCUUUACUGCAGAUGGAGUGUAAAAUAGUUUAUAGAUGAGUUUCUCACAUGCAUCUACUUAUUAAAUUUUCUUUCUUUCACUAGUUAUAUAUCAUAUUACUUGCAAUAUUUCCUGUAACAAUAAGUUAAUAUUAAUCAAACAGUAAAUUAAUAUUAAUAUCCUUUGACAAUAAAUUAAUAUUCAUAAAUAUUUCCUUUAAUAAUAAAUAAAUUACAAUAAACAUUGUGAUUUUUAUGAAUCAGAUGGAAAAGUCCUAAGAUCAAUAAUUUAAGCCAUAUGUGGUCAUCUGAGACUGUAAUCUCAGUUACUCAGGAGGCUGAAGUGGGAGAAUUGCUUGAGCCCAGGAGUUCCAGGUUACAGUGACCUAUGAUAGCACACGUGAGGCCUUACGUGAUGUUUCACUCGCCUGGAUGAAAGGAAGAUGACUUAUCCUGGCUCAACCAACUUGGCAUUCCUGUAUCUUUAAGGCUAUCUUAAAAUUUAUUUGACAAAGAAAUGACUGUGGGGAUCUAUUAUGUAAUUAUGUUAUUUUACUGUUUAACCGUUUUUCUGCACUCUGUUAAAUGACAUCCUCCACUAUACUUAACUCUUCACAGAAGAGGAAGUACUUCCAAAUUCAAUUCAUGAAGCCAGAUGUGAAAGUGGAAACAUUACUACCAAUUUUACAGAAAUAAUAAAGGAUUAUGAGACUGCUAUGAACAAAACAGAUAAAGGUAAGUUGAUUAAUGGCUGCAAAAGUACAUUUAGAUAAAAGAAGUAAGUCUGUGUUUUGCAGCACAGUAGGGUGACUAUAGUUAAUAAAAAUUCACUGCAUAUUUCAAAAUAGCUACAAGAUAAGAUUUGAAAUGUUCCCAACACAAAGAAAUGAUAAAUGUUUGAGGUGAUGGGUGCAUACAAGUACAGAUUGUAUGCAUGUAUCAAAAUAUCACAUGUACCCCAUAAGGAUGUACAAUAUGGAUAUGUUCAUAGAUAACAUAUAUUCAUAUGUUAAUAUAUUCGCAGAAAAUACUAUGAACAAAUAUAUGCCAACAACUUAUCCUACUAAGAUGAAAUAGACAAAUUGCUAAAACACAAACUCUAUCAAGCCUGAAUUACGUAGAACAAGGGUCCUCAACCCCUGGGCCGCAGACCAGUAUUGGUCUGUGGCCUGUUAGGAACCCAGCUGCACAGCAAGAGAUGAGCUGUGGGGCAAGAGAGCAUUACUGCCUGAGCUCCACCUCCUGUCAGAUCAGCAGCAGCAUUAGAUUCUCAUAGGAGUACAAACCCUAUUGUGAACUGCACAUGCAAGGGACCUAGG